rnacentral:rRNA from 1 species
CCGGACUGAGAGGUUGAACGGCCACAUUGGGACUGAGACACGGCCCAGACUCCUACGGGAGGCAGCAGUGGGGAAUAUUGCACAAUGGGGGAAACCCUGAUGCAGCGACGCCGCGUGGAGGAAGAAGGUCUUCGGAUUGUAAACUCCUGUUGUUGAGGAAGAUAAUGACGGUACUCAACAAGGAAGUGACGGCUAACUACGUGCCAGCAGCCGCGGUAAAACGUAGGUCACAAGCGUUGUCCGGAAUUACUGGGUGUAAAGGGAGCGCAGGCGGGAGAACAAGUUGGAAGUGAAAUCCAUGGGCUCAACCCAUGAACUGCUUUCAAAACUGUUUUUCUUGAGUAGUGCAGAGGUAGGCGGAAUUCCCGGUGUAGCGGUGGAAUGCGUAGAUAUCGGGAGGAACACCAGUGGCGAAGGCGGCCUACUGGGCACCAACUGACGCUGAGGCUCGAAAGUGUGGGUAGCAAACAGGAUUAGAUACCCUGGUAGUCCACACCGUAAACGAUGAUAACGAGGUGUUGGAGGAUUGACCCCUUCAGUG